ACUUGAUAGUUGGCCUGAUUUUUGCGACAUCGGGUUAAUGUAAAAGACAGGUGAGUCUAUUGUGCUGGGGCGGCAAGAAUAUAAUUUGUAACUGUUCUUAUUCACUAAAUAGUUAUAUCUAGAUAUUGACCCUGAGAGUUUAGGUUACAAGAUUAAGUU
rnacentral:rRNA from 1 species